rnacentral:rRNA from 1 species
UACGUAGGGGGCAAGCGUUGUCCGGAUUUAUUGGGCGUAAAGCGCGUGUAGGCGGCCAGGUAGGUCCGCUGUGAAAACUCGAGGCUCAACCUCGAGACGUCGGCGGAAACCCUCUGGCUAGAGUCCGGAAGAGGAGAGUGGAAUUCCUGGUGUAGCGGUGAAAUGCGCAGAUAUCGGGAAGAACACCCGUGGCGAAGGCGGUUCUCUGGGACGGUACUGACGCUGAGACGCGAAAGCGUGGGGAGCGAACAGG